UACGUAGGGGGCAAGCGUUAUCCGGAAUUAUUGGGCGUAAAGAGUACGUAGGUGGUUAUGUAAGCGCGGGGUGAAAGGCAGUGGCUCAACCAUUGUAAGCCUUGCGAACUGCAUGACUUGAGUGCAGGAGAGGAAAGCGGAAUUCCUAGUGUAGCGGUGAAAUGCGUAGAUAUUAGGAGGAACACCAGUGGCGAAGGCAGCUUCCUGGACUGUAACUGACACUGAGGUACGAAAGCGUGGGGAGCAAACAGG
rnacentral:rRNA from 1 species